rnacentral:tRNA from 2 species
CGGGGCGUGGCUCAGAUGGCUAGAGCGCUCGGUUCGGGACCGUGAGGUCGCUGGUUCAAAUCCAGUCGCCCCGA